rnacentral:rRNA from 1 species
UACAGAGGGGGCGAGCGUUGUUCGGAUUCAUUGGGCGUAAAGGGUGCGUAGGUGGCGCUGUAAGUCGGGUGUGAAAUCCUGAGGCUUAACCUCGGAACUGCAUUCGAUACUGCGGCGCUUGAGGACUGGAGAGGAGACUGGAAUUCAUGGUGUAGCAGUGAAAUGCGUAGAGAUCAUGAGGAAGACCAGUGGCGAAGGCGGGUCUCUGGACAGUUCCUGACACUGAGGCACGAAGGCCAGGGGAGCAAACGGG